rnacentral:rRNA from 1 species
UACGUAGGGUCCGAGCGUUGUCCGGAAUUACUGGGCGUAAAGAGCUCGUAGGUGGUUUGUCGCGUUGUUCGUGAAAACUCACAGCUUAACUGUGGGCGUGCGGGCGAUACGGGCAGACUUGAGUACUGGCAGGGGAGAACUGGAAGUUCCUGGUGUAGCGGUGGAAUGCGCAGAUAUCGAAGGGAAGAACACCGGUGGCGGAAGGCGGCUCUUCUGGGCCUUACCUGACGCUGGAGGAAGCGGAAAGCGUGGGGAGCGAACAGG